rnacentral:rRNA from 1 species
AUUGAACGCUGGCGGCAGGCCUAACACAUGCAAGUCGAGCGGUAGAGAGGUGCUUGCAUCUCUUGAGAGCGGCGGACGGGUGAGUAAUGCCUAGGAAUCUGCCUAGUGGUGGGGGAUAACGUUCGGAAACGGACGCUAAUACCGCAUACGUCCUACGGGAGAAAGCGGGGGAUCUUCGGACCUCGCGCCAUUAGAUGAGCCUAGGUCGGAUUAGCUAGUUGGUGAGGUAAUGGCUCACCAAGGCGACGAUCCGUAACUGGUCUGAGAGGAUGAUCAGUCACACUGGAACUGAGACACGGUCCAGACUCCUACGGGAGGCAGCAGUGGGGAAUAUUGGACAAUGGCG